AGGUGACCUGGCGGUCUGCUUAACACAUGCAAGUCGAACGAACUCUUCGGAGUGAGUGGCGGACGGGUGAGUAACGCGUGAGAAUCUGCCUGUGGGUCGGGGACAACCACUGGAAACGGUGGCUAAUACCGGAUGAGCCGAAAGGUAAAAAAUUUAUUGCCCACAGAUGAGCUCGCGUCUGAUUAGCUAGUUGGUAAGGUAAAAGCGUACCAAGGCGACGAUCAGUAGCUGGUCUGAGAGGAUGAGCAGCCACACUGGGACUGAGACACGGCCCAGACUCCUACGGGGAGGCAGCAGUGGGGAUUUUUCCGCAAUGGGCGAAAGCUUGACGGAGCAAGACCGCGUGGGGGAGGAAGGUUUUUGUAUCGUAAACCCUUUUUGUCAGGGAAGAUUUUCUGACGGUACUUGACGAAUAAGCCUCGGCUAACUCCGUGCCAGCAGCCGCGGUAAUACGGAGGAGGCAAGCGUUAUCCGGAAUGAUUGCGCGUAAAGCGUCUGUAGGUGGCCAGCUAAGUCUGCUGUUAAAGAUCACAGCUCAUCUGUGGGAAGGCAGUGGAAACUGGCAAGCUAGAGGCUGGUAGGGGAAAAGGGAAUUCCCGGUGUAGCGGUGAAAUGCGUAUAUAUCGGGAAGACCACCGGUGGCGAAUGCGCUUUUACUGGGCCAGACCUGACACUGAAGGACGAAAGCUAGGGGAGCGAAAGGGAAUUAGAUACCCCUGUAGUCCUAGCUGUAAACGAUGGAGACUAGGUGUAGCACGUAUCGACCCGUGCUGAAUCGAACCCAACGCGUUAAGUCUCCCGCUUGGGGAGUACCGCACGCAAGUUGUGAACUCAAAGGAUUGAC
rnacentral:rRNA from 1 species